UGACAAGCCUCCCAGCCAAGGCUCCUUCAUGGUGUAGCCCUCCCGGCAGACCAGCCUGCACCUCGACAGUGACUCAGCACUGCAACGACUCCUUAUUCAGCUGAAGUGGUCUCAUCUCUGCCACGAUACUCAGACAAGUGGGGGAAAAAGGGAGGUCGGACAUGGAUGAGCGAGAACGACUCCAUUUGGGAGAGAGUUUGGUGCCACUGCCAGCUACCCUUUGCUGAAAAGAGCACGACGAGUCAGCCAACCUAAGGAGAGAAUGUGCAACAAAUUGAUUUUGACCAAAUGUCACGAACGUUUGACCCUUUUCUUCAGCCUUCCAUCUGCUGAUGACUUGAGCAUGACCUCGUUAUACUGUAUAUUUAACUAAAGGGAGGCUGUAUUUAUUUCUCAGGGUGUAAUGUUAAAGUCAUUACUUACAGCUUCUGUAGAUUUCCCAUGUGGGAAGCAUUGUUUUUCUGAAGUGUUUCUUAUACUGUCAAGCGGUCUCUUUAAAGAGUAUUUUCUGAAUUUUCUGCUAGUUCCCUGGAGAGAAGUGGGAGUCCAGAACUGCUGUGGCAGGAAACUCUGCUUGGACCAUGUGGUGCUUGUCUGGAUGAAAAAAGUUUGUUUGAAAGCUUGGUUUUCAAUAAUUUUCACUUCAUCCCACGACGCAGGGAAUGUUUGACAGGCACGAGGGAAGAGGAAAAGGGGGAGGCAGGAAUAAAUUGCUUUAAAUUACUAUAUCUGCAAAGACAAAAGUUACAGUCUUGAAGUCUAGUAGACUUGCUCCUGUUUUGACCCAUCUCGAAAUGUCAUUUGGCAAAGAGGGAACAGCCAUAUAUCCUUACAUCAACUGUAUAACCCAGGCCUUUUGCUGUACCCAUAUGCUGUGGAAUACCCAUAAAUAAUGUGUGACAAAAGGCUGCUCGGGACACUCUUAGGCCUGCUCGUUUGACCUUUCGACAAAGAGAAACUCGACCAAAACAAACAACUCCCCUUGACACAAGGACGCAAUCUAAUUUGGUGCAGAGAGGCUGAAACAAGGCUUUCCAUUUCAGAGUCUUUCGGGGGAACUGAUUCCAGCUCAGCACACCCACAUCAGGACUGGCACAUGGAGCCUGAAAAGAAAUCAAUGGCAAAGGGUUUAACAGGCUAACCAUAAUUGGGCUCAUAGUCUAGACCCACCGUGGUCUUUGGAAGUUUUGUAAAUACCAACAGAGAAUAACAAUCUGGGCGAAAAUAGCUUGUGUCUGUCUCGAUGCGGCUCAUUGAUUUUCUGUUUUAUUAUUUAUUUAUUGUCUGUUUUGUGCAUGCUUCAGAGAGCCCUGCAAGACUAAUGCAACAGAGAGAGAAGCUUUGUCAGAUGAAAAUAUCAUUCUGUGCACCGAGCAGAAUAUUAUCAUUAUGUUAUCCAUACAGCCGGUACGUUAUCUUUUACAUUCAGGAACAUUUAGCUCGUUCUCUCUUAUCCACAGAAACUGACCGUCAAUGCUACAACUAAAUACCUGGAUGUAUAACGAGUGGAUGUAUAAUAAGUACUGCUGUGACCCUGUGAUCAUUAUACAUUGCAAGAGUAAGUGUUUGGUGAGGAAAUAAAAGGCAGAAUG